rnacentral:rRNA from 1 species
GGUGUAACGACUUGGGCACUGUCUCGGCCAUGAGCUCGGUGAAAUUGUGGUCCCGGUGAAGACGCCGGGUACCCGCAACGGGACGGAAAGACCCCAUGCACCUUCACUAUAAUUUAACAUUGACAUUGGAUACAGGAUGUGUAGGAUAGGUGGGAGACUAUGAAGCGGCGUCGCCAGGCGUCGUGGAGUCAACGUUGAAAUACCACCCUUUCUGUAUUCGGUGUCUAACCCGACUAGUUCGGGGACAUUGUUUGAUGGGUAGUUUGACUGGGGUGGUCGCCUCCAAAAAGGUAACGGAGGCUUUCAAAGGUAAGCUCAAUACGCUUGGUAACCGUAUGAGGAGUGCAAUAGCAUAAGCUUGCUUGACUGUGAGGCAGACAAGCCGAGCAGGGUCGAAAGACGGAUAUAGUGAUCCGGUGGUUCUGCAUGGAAGGGCCAUCGCUCAAAGGAUAAAAGGUACGCUGGGG